rnacentral:lncRNA from 1 species
AUGUCAAAGUCAAAUUCAAAGUCCAAGAAAGCGAGGCUAGAAUAAAGCUCUAGAGGCCCCCAACAAAUAGUUGUCUAUCAGGAAAGACCAACUAGAGCAUAGUUGUCUGUAGAUCUUGUCAGGCUGGGUCUUUAGGAGCAUUUGAACAAUAUUUAUUUGUUUUAUUUAAAUCUGAGUUGUCGGAACAGAAUAUUUGACUAGUUGUUAUCUGUAAUAAUCUGUUUGUUAUUUGGGACACGGUAUGGGUCGUGUUAAUUUAAACUGAAUAGUGAUGAUAAUUGUUAUGGAAACUUCUGGACAAUCUGUUUCGCUC